rnacentral:pre_miRNA from 1 species
CUUGUACUCCCUCCGUCCGAAAAUACUUGUCAUUGAAAUGGAUGUAUCUAGAUGUAUUUUAGUUCUAGACACAUCCAUUUUGAUGACAAGUAAUUCCGGAUGGAGGGAGUACAUG